GACGAACCGUGCGACCGUUGUUCGGAAUCACUGGGCUUAAAGGGCGCGUAGGCGGCAGAUCAAGUCCGGGGUGAAAUCCUCCAGCUCAACUGGAGAAGUGCCUUGGAUACUGAUGUGCUCGAGGGAGGUAGGGGUCCGCGGAACUUCUGGUGGAGCGGUGAAAUGCGUUGAUAUCAGAAGGAACGCCGGUGGCGAAAGCGGCGGACUGGAUCUCUUCUGACGCUGAGGCGCGAAAGCUAGGGGAGCAAACGGG
rnacentral:rRNA from 1 species